rnacentral:rRNA from 1 species
AGUGAACGCUGGCGGUAGGCCUGACACAUGCAAGUCGAACGGCAGCACAGUAAGAGCUUGCUCUUACGGGUGGCGAGUGGCGGACGGGAGAGGAAUACAUCGUAAUCUACUUUUUCGUGGGGGAUAACGUAGGUAAACUUACGCUAAUACCGCAUACGACCUACCGGUGAAAGCACGGGAUCUUCGGACCUUGCGCGAUUGAAUGAGCCGAUGUGGGAUUAGCUAGUUGGCGGGGUAAAGGCCCACCAAUGCGACGAUCCGUCACUGGUCUGAGAGGAUGAUCAGCCACACUGGAAGUGAGCCACCGUCCAGACUCCUAAGGGAGGCACCAGUGGGGAAUCUUCGACAAUGGGCGGAAGUCUGACACAAUCAGACCGCGUGGGUUAAGGAGGCCUUCGGGUUGUAAAGCCCGUUUUUUGGGAAAGAAAAGCAGCAGGUUAAUACCCCGCUGUUUUGACGGUACCCAGAGAAUAAGCACCGGCUAACUUCGUG